AAUAUUGGUCAAUGAGCGCAAGCUUGAACCAGCCAUGCCGCGUGCAGGACGACUGCCCUAUGGGUUGUAAACUGCUUUUAUACGGGAAUAAACCCCUCUACGUGUAGGGGGCUGAAUGUACUGUAAGAAUAAGGAUCGGCUAACUCCGUUCCAGCAUCCGCGGUAAUACGGAGGAUCCAAGCGUUAUCCGGAUUUAUUGGGUUUAAAGGGUGCGUAGGCGGCCUAUCAAGUCAGAGGUGAAAGACGGUAGCUUAACUAUCGCAGUGCCCUUGAAACUGGUGGGCUUGAAUGUACUUGAGGUGGGCGGAAUGUGACAAGUAGCGGUGAAAUGCAUAGAUAUGUCACAGAACCCCGAUUGCGAAGGCAGCUCACUAAAGUAUGAUUGACGCUGAUGCACGAAAGCGUGGGGAUCAAACAGG
rnacentral:rRNA from 1 species